UAGGGAAUCUUCGUCAAUGUACGAAAGUCUGACCGAGCAACGCCGCGUGAGUGAAGAAGGUUUUCGGAUCGUAAAACUCUGUUGUUAGAGAAGAACAAGGACGUUAGUAACUGAACGUCCCCUGACGGUAUCUAACCAGAAAGCCACGGCUAACUACGUGCCAGCAGCCGCGGUAAUACGUAGGUGGCAAGCGUUGUCCGGAUUUAUUGGGCGUAAAGCGAGCGCAGGCGGUUUCUUAAGUCUGAUGUGAAAGCCCCCGGCUCAACCGGGGAGGGUCAUUGGAAACUGGGAGACUUGAGUGCAGAAGAGGAGAGUGGAAUUCCAUGUGUAGCGGGGAAAUGCGUAGAUAUAUGGAGGAACACCAGUGGCGAAGGCGGCUCUCUGGCCUGUAACUGACGCUGAGGAUCGAAAGCGUGGGGAGCAAACAGG
rnacentral:rRNA from 1 species